rnacentral:rRNA from 1 species
GAUGAACGCUAGCUACAGGCUUAACACAUGCAAGUCGAACGACCGGCGCGCGGGUAAGUAGCAGGUAUCCAACCUGCCCUUUACUCGUGAAUCGCCUAUCGGAAGACAGAUUAAUACCCGACAUGAAGGUUGGGGAUGCGUUCCCGUAGGUUGUGGGUGAGGUAACGACCCACCAAGCCUUCGCUGGAUAGGGGUUUUGAGAGGAAGGUCCCCCACAUUGGAACUGAGACACGGUCCAAACGCCUACGGGAGGCAGCAGUGAGGAAUAGUGGUCAACGGGCGGUAGCCGGAACCAGCCAAGUAGCGGGAAGGAUGAAGGCUUUUGGGUCGUAAACUUCUUUUAUAUAAGAAUAGGUAUUAUAUGAAGAAGCAUCGGCUAACUACGUGCCAGCAGCCGCGGUAAUUC